CUUACUCUUGCUGACGAGCGGCGGACGGGUGAGUAAUGCAUAGGAAUCUGCCCGGUAGUGGGGGAUAACCUGGGGAAACCCAGGCUAAUACCGCAUACGUCCUACGGGAGAAAGGGGGCUCCGGCUCCCGCUAUUGGAUGAGCCUAUGUCGGAUUAGCUAGUUGGUGAGGUAAUGGCUCACCAAGGCAACGAUCCGUAGCUGGUCUGAGAGGAUGAUCAGCCACAUCGGGACUGAGACACGGCCCGAACUCCUACGGGAGGCAGCAGUGGGGAAUAUUGGACAAUGGGGGCAACCCUGAUCCAGCCAUGCCGCGUGUGUGAAGAAGGCCCUCGGGUUGUAAAGCACUUUCAGCGAGGAAGAACGCCUAGCGGUUAAUACCCGCUAGGAAAGACAUCACUCGCAGAAGAAGCACCGGCUAACUCCGUGCCAGCAGCCGCGGUAAUACGGAGGGUGCAAGCGUUAAUCGGAAUUACUGGGCGUAAAGCGCGCGUAGGUGGCUUGAUAAGCCGGUUGUGAAAGCCCCGGGCUCAACCUGGGAACGGCAUCCGGAACUGUCAGGCUAGAGUGCAGGAGAGGAAGGUAGAAUUCCGGUGUAGCGGUGAAAUGCGUAGAGAUCGGGAGGAAUACCAGUGGCGAAGCGGCCUUCUGGACUGACACU
rnacentral:rRNA from 1 species